rnacentral:rRNA from 1 species
UGAGGAAUAUUGGGCAAUGGAGGCAACUCUGACCCAGCCAUGCCGCGUGCAGGAAGACUGCCCUAUGGGUUGUAAACUGCUUUUAUACAGGAAGAAACACCGCUACGUG